rnacentral:lncRNA from 1 species
AGAGAAGCAGCACUAAUAGGAUCCGAGGCGGUUCGUUGCAGUUGGUACAUGGUGGCUUCAAGGUGCUCGGUUGGCUUCACCCUCAGGCACAUGACCCAAUUCACAAAACGCAAGAAACACACGACCGACCGAGCGCACGGAACAGCUUCCACAAGGCAGUUCUUCAUCCCCGGCUCGCUGACCAGGAUGGAAAGAUAUAUACCGAUAAAGGAGCGAUAUCCGCCGCCGCUCAACACACACUGACAUCAAACCCAUCAGAAGUGCUACAUACACACAAACAUAUACACACAUACACACACAGCCCCCCGUCCGCGGCCUCCCCGCCCCCGGGCCUGAGGCCUGCGGCCGUUGUGGCAGUACUUUCAAACCCCUGCAUUGCACGUGUGCUGGGCCGCGCCACACAUAUAACUUCCCCUCCCCCCAAAUAAAAGCACACAUCCCGCACCUCACAUCCUUUCACCCCUCGUCCGUGGUACCCGCAUCGCAAUCGCCUCCUCCUCCUCCCACCAUUGCCGCCUGCUUCUCCUUAACAGGACAACCACCACAACCACCACCACCCACAACCUCGGGGUGACUGAUACACACAAAAUCGCAAACACGCACGUACGUCUAUCACGUACACGCGUACAAUUGUGCUCCGGAACCUGCCUCGGCGGCACCACAGAACAACACACUUAUACACACACAAACACACACACGCACGGCCCUCAGUCCCCCCCCGGUCGUAAAGCCAUUGCGGCUUUCCACCACCUUCCCACAUCAUAAGGGGGUUCCCCACGUCGCAACCGAAAAUUCGACACCCUGUCAAUACAUACAUACAUACAUGCAUACAUAUAUACAUGUAUUACGUAAAACAGACAUACCUACGGACAAAUGUGUGGGGGUUGGCUGCGGGUGCACGUACGGAAGGAACGUGGCGGGAAGGAGCGGGGUCUUAGGGUCUCAACCUUGCACGGCGUUUAUACGACACGCGCUCAUACCUCCUGCUUGCUAGGCCCCUCCCUCCCUCCCCCCACACGCUCCAGCUCUAGUCCGGGGGAAGAGUCCUCCCCCGUCCCGCAGGAAACAAAUUAACAUAAACACUCAUCUUGCGCGCACGCAAAACACACAUACAUACAUACAUAAAGGUCCCAGAAGCAGGUCGCCACAGAGUACGGCAACCCCUGAGCCCCAUCAGUGAAACCGUAUCUCCCUUUUUCCAUUUCCCCUCCAAACACACACACACUUCUUAAGAGCCACGGGUACCUCACUGCGACGCCACCGCCAGGUCACUUCUGAUGCUUUCGAAAAAUCCACCAACCGCCAACCACCAUCAGUUGUGCCACAUCCGACGCGUCCACAGCUACAGCCGCACUGCGCACCCUGUUCUCCCCCCCCCGGCCUCACGGCUGCAGGUCAGAUCAGGGAGAGCAACCACCACAAAUACACAUAUGACAGAGACUGUGUCCCGUCACCGUCAUCCAUGACCAAGGAUUCGACGGCCCCUACUCCCCCCCCUCUCCUCUCG